rnacentral:rRNA from 1 species
AUUGAACGCUGGCGGCAUGCCUUACACAUGCAAGUCGAACGGCAGCGGACCUUCGGGUGCCGGCGAGUGGCGAACGGGUGAGUAAUGUAUCGGAACGUACCUUUCAGUGGGGGAUAACGUAGCGAAAGUUACGCUAAUACCGCAUAUUCUGUGAGCAGGAAAGCAGGGGAUCGCAAGACCUUGCGCUGAUUGAGUGGCCGAUAUCAGAUUAGCUAGUUGGCGAGGUAAAGGCUCACCAAGGCGACGAUCUGUAGCGGGUCUGAGAGGAUGAUCCGCCACACUGGAACUGAGACACGGUCCAGACUCCUACGGGAGGCAGCAGUGGGGAAUUUUGGACAAUGGGGGCAACCCUGAUCCAGCCAUGCCGCGUGAGUGAAGAAGGCCUUCGGGUUGUAAAGCUCUUUCGUCCGGGAAGAAAUCGCAUCAGCUAAUACCUGGUGUGGAUGACGGUACCGGAAUAAGAAGCACCGGCUAACUACGUGCCAGCAGCCGCGGUAACAC